rnacentral:rRNA from 1 species
UACGUAGGGCGCAAGCGUUGUCCGGAAUUACUGGGUUUAAAGGGUGUGUAGGCGGGCGUUUAAGUCAGUGGUGAAAUCUCCGAGCUCAACUCGGAAACUGCCAUUGAUACUAUUCGUCUUGAAUAUCGUUGAGGUAGGCGGAAUAUGUCAUGUAGCGGUGAAAUGCAUAGAUAUGACAUAGAACACCAAUUGCGAAGGCAGCUUACUAAACGAUCAUUGACGCUGAGGCACGAAAGCGUGGGGAUCAAACAGGAUUAGAUACCCUGGUAGUCCACGCCCUAAACGAUUAUUACUCGACAUACGCGAUACACAGUGUGUGUCUGAGCGAAAGCAUUAAGUAAUCCACCUGGGAAGUACGACCGCAAGGUUGAA